rnacentral:rRNA from 1 species
CCUACGGGGGGCAGCAGUGGGGAAUAUUGGGCAAUGGGCGCAAGCCUGACCCAGCAACGCCGCGUGAAGGAAGAAGGCUCUCGGGUUGUAAACUUCUUUUAUCAGGGACGAAGCAAGUGACGGUACCUGAUGAAUAAGCCACGGCUAACUACGUGCCAGCAGCCGCGGUAAUACGUCGGUGGCAAGCGUUAUCCGGAUUUACUGGGUUUAAAGGGCGUGUAGGGGGGAAAGCAAGUCAGAUGUGAAAACCAUGGGCUCAACCUGUGGCCUGCAUUUGAAACUGUUUUUCUUGAGUACUGGAGAGGCAGACGGAAUUCCUGGUGUAGCGGUGAAAUGCGUAGAUAUUAGGCGGAACGCCAGUGGCGAAGGCGGUCUGCUGGACAGCAACUGACGCUGAGGCGCGAAAGCGUGGGGAGCAAACAGGAUUAGAUACCCUAGUAGUC